GGAGGUGUAGCUCAGUUGGUUAGAGCGCUGGCCUGUCAAGCCAGAGGCCGCGGGUUCAAGUCCCGUCAUCUCCG
rnacentral:tRNA from 1 species